rnacentral:tRNA from 1 species
GGAGGGAUGACCGAAUGGCAAGGAGCCGGUCUCGAAAACCGGUACGCCCGCAAGGGUUUCGGGGUUCGAAUCCCCGUCCCUCCGCCA